rnacentral:rRNA from 1 species
UGGGGAAUAUUGCACAAUGGGCGCAAGCCUGAUGCAGCCAUGCCGCGUGUGUGAAGAAGGCCUUCGGGUUGUAAAGCACUUUCAGCGAGGAGGAAGGUGGUGAGCUUAAUACGCUCAUCAAUUGACGUUACUCGCAGAAGAAGCACCGGCUAACUCCGUGCCAGCAGCCGCGGUAAUACGGAGGGUGCAAGCGUUAAUCGGAAUUACUGGGCGUAAAGCGCACGCAGGCGGUUUGUUAAGUCAGAUGUGAAAUCCCCGGGCUCAACCUGGGAACUGCAUUUGAAACUGGCAAGCUAGAGUCUCGUAGAGGGGGGCUAGAAUUCCAGGUGUAGCGGUGAAAUGCGUAGAGAUCUGGAGGAAUACCGGUGGCGAAGGCGGCCCCCCUGGACGAAGACUGACGCUCAGGUGCGAAAAGGCGU